UCUUGGGCCUGGGCUGCUUUUUGAGGAGGAGUGCUGUAUGGCAGAGAGCCCCUUCACCAAAAGGGGAUCAACCUUCCUACUCACAGGCUUCCAUGGCCAUGGAAAAAUCUUUUUUGAAGCUCCUCUUUGAGUUCCCUGUGGCAAGAAACAGCUGUUUCUGUUCUAAACUCGGCUCCUCAUGCUCUCAGGCCAAUCAUGUCAAUCUGGUGGAGUAAAGGUCUAAAGGAAUGCCAAAGGAAUGCUGUAGCAGGAAAACAGAGUUUUAUGAGCCAGGCAAGUAAAAGCAGUGCUGGUGCUCAGUACUCAUCUUCCAACAUUUUGCAAGACAUCCACUUGCUUACCUACAGGACGGGAGAAGAAGACAGUAAGAUCCGAUGCUGAGGUAAUUGCUUUGCCAGACUUCACAGUCUUCUGACCACACUUCAGUUCUAAAACAUAAAAAUCACAUGGAAAAGAACCUUUACAGAUGAUUAAGUGGCCUGAAGUCUCAUAGAUGCAUUCAGAUGUUAUGGGAAUCGUUAACAUGUUAGAAUGAUAAAGAAAAUGUCGUGGUUUUCUUCUGGAGAUACAGGAUUCUAAAAUGAUGGUAAUAUGUUCCUAUUAUAUAGUUUACUUCGUAUUUUUAUUGUGUGGAACUGCACAUCCCUAGAAUUUUACAUGCGAAUUGGUGCCUCAUAAUUCUUCCUUCCAUGAAGGAAAAGAAUAACUGAGCCAUAUUUUCAAUAAGUUGAUCUCCAUAGAUAUACAUCUGUGCUUGCAUGAGCAAAUCCCAAAGCUGUCCUUGUAGCCAGAUGUUUUGAUGUGUUAUUUGCACAAGAAAUGUUGCGGCCUAGG
ensembl:lncRNA